rnacentral:ncRNA from 1 species
GAUAAAGCGAAGACAGGGACAAGUAAUUUUUUGCGAUCAGCAUGCACAGAGAGCCGGGUUAGCUGGAAGCCGGUGAUGCCGUAAUGGAAUGAACUCACCCUGGAGCGCCAGUUUGAAAGGAAACUAGUAAAACUGGCCGAGUGCCCCGCACUUGUUGUCAAAAUCACGAGCGCACGCGUUAAGCGUGAAGAAGGGUGGUACCGUGGAACAAGGAGCUAAAGCCUAUUCCAUCCCUUUG